rnacentral:lncRNA from 1 species
GUGUAUAAUUCAAGCAGCUCAGAUGGACUGCAGCAAGGUGUAUAUGCAACCAACUUCCUUCCUGCUUGUACAAAUCUCUUGGCACUUAUUGCAUUAAAAUGACAAGAAUACAUAUUUGGAAGUAGAAAUAUGGCUCGUUAUUCUGCAAUUAAGUAAUUGACUAGAUUCUUCAGCACAGGAAAUGAAAAAAAAAUUUACUGUCCCUGAGAAAGAAAUGCAAUCUCUAAACCAAAUUUAAACACUUAACUGCAGCUGUGAAAACCACAGGACACCUGCAUUUGCAUCUGGUUCAGCAAGUUUAGGAUACCAAUUCUUGCAGGUAAGUUGUUCUCAGCUCUGGGAAAAUGGAAAAUCAUCCUGAGCAGCUUACAUAACCCCUGGGUGGUGGUGAUUUCCUUUGCAACUAAGGUUAAGGCUGGAGAGAUUUUGGCACUUCUGUUGAUAAAAUGUUUUUAGAAACUUCUUGUCUAUUCUAUAUGAGGGCCUAAAAAUGGGUGUCCCUCCUUAACAGCUGUCCUUCCCACAGCUAACGUGAACAGAAUCUGGGCUUCUGUUUGCUGACUGUACGGUCCUGUUAAUAAUAUCUCAUGACUCACUCCUUCCUUCUCUUCCACCUCCCUUCCUGCUUCAACAUUUAUUAUCUACCUUGGCCAAGAACCAUGCUCAGGACCCGAGAUAAAGAAGACAUCAUUGUUGGCUCACAGUCUAGUGGGGGAAACCUAAGACUGAACCAAAGGACAUGAGAGAGCAAUCGAGAUGCAACCCCGACCCAUUACAGAGGGGAUCCUGCCCUCUACCAGCAAGAAGGGAAGGUGGCAGAGACGGCCAGGAAGAACACGCACGGACGAACCGGAGCCCUGGCUUCCCUCCCAGACUAUCACCAUUGGGCCGCACCGCAUUUCUACGAAAGCCAUUCAUGCUUCACCCGCAGCCUCAGCAUAGGAAGCACAGCUCACCCAGCCUGGGUUGCUGGGUCUUCAGCACGAAGGCUUCGGUGUCACCCACAUCUGAUCUGAUACGUCUGUUAUGCCUUUCUCUAGCUGACGCAUCUUUUGACACAAGACUGUCGGCCAUGGCCCUGUGCAGGCAGGAAGAGGCCCCCUUUCCCACGCUCUGCACCUCACCAUCCAGAGCCCAGCCUUCAUCUGCAAGGGCUGUUGCCAGGCCCAGUAAAUUGCCUAGUGCCAGGGAGAGCACAGACCCAUGAGUCUGAGAUUCAAAGGAAGCAG